rnacentral:rRNA from 1 species
CGAGGGGUGCAAACGUUAUUCGGAAUCACUGGGCGUAAAGGGUGCGUAGACGGCGAGUCAAGUCAAUCAUUAAAUCUCCUAGCUUAACUAGGAGCUCGUGAUUGAGACUGAUUUGCUUGAGGAUGGAAGAGAGAAGUGGAAUUCUCGGAGUAGCGGUAAAAUGCGUAGAUCUCGAGAGGAACACCGAUGGCGAAGGCAGCUUCUUGGUCCAUUUCUGACGUUGAGGCACGAAAGCGUGGGGAGCAAACAGGAUUAGAUACCCUGGUAGUCCACGCUGUAAACGAUGAUCACUAGAUGUUAGGUCCGCUUUAGGGCUUAGUAUCGCAGCUAACGCAUUAAGUGAUCCGCCUGGGAAGUACGGUCGCAAGAUUA